rnacentral:misc_RNA from 1 species
AAGAACAUCGAUGCAGCGCGUGCUGACGCAGGACUGAGAGUGGAAAAGGGAAGUCGAGGAGAAGAGGGGCCUAAGCUGAUCGCCCCCCCUCCCCCUCCAAGUGCGUUCCUCCUGCACAUUCUAUCGUCUUUAUUAGGAUGCGACGUACAUUGCAGACGGCGAACAACGUCAUGGGUGGGGGCCUCCCCAUCCACCGUGAUACCACGCGCAAGCCGCGCCUCGUGACGGAGGUGGGAACGUGGCUGUACAAGAAGGAGACCAUGCAGAACUUCAGCAAAUGGUGCCGCGAGCGUCAGGUGCGGGCGUACGGAAACGUGAAGAUGACGUCGACGAUCCACUUUGCCCGGUGUCUGCGCGCCUCGAAGCCGAUCCGACCGGGGCAGGCCAUCAUCACCAGCCCCCUUUCCGCGUGCUUCAACUUCUUGACGGUCGCGAAAGAGAUGUACGACUGCCCGUCCACGGCUUUUCCGCUGCAGUUGAACUGGAUGAACUACAACGAGCGCUUGCCCUUCAUGAGGAGCGCCUGCAUGUACGAGUUCGCACAGGCUGGCUGGAUGACGCGCAUCGCCUCCCUCGAGGAAUCCGUGUACACGCCAUACGUGCAUUACCUCUUGGAGGACACGCGCGGCCGCGACGGCAUCUCGAAUGGCAUGGGCAAGGAACGCGAGGAGGAGAGCGGCGUGCUGGACCACUAUCUGUCCGAGAUGGCGACAGACGCCUGCGAAGACCCGGAGGUGUUCCUGGAGAACUUCUUUCGUGGGCUGGCGUGCGUGCACCUCCGCUCGCAGCCGAUCGAGGCGGCCGCCGUGGAGGCAUUCGUGCCCGGCACGAACUUCUUUAAAGCCAAGUCGAGCGAGAUGUACGUCCCGACCCUCGUUCCCCUCGUCGAUGCCGUCCCGCAGCUGGAGAACGGCUCGCACAAUACGGUUCUCGAAUACUACCCCUUCACAGAUGUGGCGACACUUCGGGCGCAAUGUGAUGAGCUGCAGAUCUCCUUCUUCGAGAAGGGCAAAGAGGAGCCGAUUGUGGCGCAGGAGACGCGCACGGCGCGAGGAGUGGCACAGCGGAUCAACCUGGAGAGCGAGUUGAUGGACCCCGCACUUCUGGAGGGCGGCGGCUUUUUUGCCUUGCGCGCGCUGGAGCCGCUGGAUGUUGGCGACGUGCUGUACCUGCGUCGAUUCCCUGACGUGUGGAGUCGCGCCGGAGAGCGCAUGAUGGACGCGCAGGUAAUGGAGGCGAACCGGCUGCUGUCGCGUGACGACGAAUGAUGGCAUGUUGAUAUGUAUACAUAUAUAUAUAUAUAUAUAUAUGUGUGUGUGUGUGUUGGGUGUGCGUCUGUGCGUGACUCUUCGGCGAAGCUGCAGUAUGCGCUGUGACUGAGGAUGCGGGGUGCUUGCUCUCACUGCUAUUACCGAAAAGGGCAAACAACACCGCCCAUUCCUCGAUGCAUCCGGCACGUUUUCCCUGCGACUCUUUUCUACUUCCACGCACACCUACACUCGCUCGCAUCGCUCUCUGCAAUCUCUUCUUGUGCUGGUGCCUCACCUGUGACACAAGAACCUUCUUGCAUGCUUGUGCAGUCGCGCGGGUGUCAUGCAAACGCACUCGCUGCCAUUACCGUCAUCUCUUCGCCACCCCCUUGGUGGUCGCACGGCGCACGCAUUCUGCAUUGCGUAUCUCGAAGGAGCUCCACCUUAGGGCGGACCUCUGCAACACACUCACAGGCACCCAUGCGAGGGACUAGUAAGGCGCUCAGCCACCUCGCGUCCGCUAUCGUUGUCAAACCGCAUUCCCUCGCUGCUCCACGUCAAGGCGGCGGAAGAAAAGCGCGCCGGCACACGAACGUUCUUUUCAGUUCCGCCGCAUCCACUUCUCUCCCUCCCGCUACCCGUUCCCACCGCCUUCCCCCUCUUUCUCAUCUCCUCCCUGACUGGAGCGCUGAGACGACGAGGCUGGCCACAUCGAAUUCCUUUCCUUUCUCGGUUAACGCCAUUGCCGCCGAGACAG